AAGUAGGUAGCUUAACCUUCGGGAGGGCGCUUACCACUUUGUGAUUCAUGACUGGGGGGAAGUCGUAACAAGGUAACCGUAGGGGAACCUGCGGUUGGAUCACCUCCUUACCUUAAAGAA
rnacentral:rRNA from 1 species